rnacentral:rRNA from 1 species
CAGCAGCCGCGGUAAUACGUAGGGUGCAAGCGUUAAUCGGAAUUACUGGGCGUAAAGCGUGCGCAGGCGGCUAUGCAAGACAGAUGUGAAAUCCCCGGGCUCAACCUGGGAACUGCAUUUGUGUCUGCAUGGCUAGAGUACGGUAGAGGGGGAUGGAAUUCCGCGUGUAGCAGUGAAAUGCGUAGAUAUGCGGAGGAACACCGAUGGCGAAGGCAAUCCCCUGGACCUGUACUGACGCUCAUGCACGAAAGCGUGGGGAGCAAACAGGAUUAGAUACCCCUGUAGUCCCUGUCUCUUAUAC